AAAGCAGGCUGCAAUUACAGUGCUUCAUUCUGUGGGAGUACUGCCAUUUUCCUGCUGAGAGUAACUCGUGUUAACACUGUCUUCGGUUUCACCUAUACAGUGGUGAAACUGUAUGUUCUUAACAUGUACAAGU
ensembl:snoRNA